AUCAGUCCCUGCCAUGUGCAUUCUUGCGGUUUCUCUCGCACAUAGAAGGCUCACGGGAAGCCUGCACACUAAAGCAGAGAACGGGAAGCGAGGGACAAAUCUGUUUCUCUGGUCUCCAUCCAGGUGACUGUGGCGCUUUGAGACCGUGUGAGCGGGAUGAUCUGUGCUUGGGCUAAACUGUCCUUGGGAACUACGCCACGCUCCCCAUCAGCCAGCCCUGACAGAGCUGGCAGUGCUCCGCACGGGCAGCAUUUUGGAGAGUCGCCGUCGAGAGGAAAGCAGGAAACGGAGAGAAGGGAUGAAAAAACAAGAAAGAAAGCAUAAAAUGAGAUCAAGUCUUUGUGUUUGUUGGAGCGGUCAGGAUGUACAGUAGCUGCUAAAUAAGAGAUGGAUAACAAAGAUUAGAACAAAAGAAAGUAAGUCAUGCAGGUUUGGAGUGACACGAGGUUUCCUUGUCACCCGUGUCGAUAGAAAAGGAUUAUGGCUGAAACAGAACAGGAAUGGAGGGAGUUUGAAAGAGAAGAGAGAAUGGAGGGGCCGCCAGAAAGGUCAUGUCCGAGCAACCAACCCACCUCGGGCAUUACUCAUUAACCUAGCAACAAGCUAAGUCCGGUAACAGUGAUGACCUGAGGGGGGAUCAAACCAGAGAGCAGCUUCACCACAUUUCUGAAAUUUUACCAUGAUCUUCUACUAAAUUCAAGCUGAGAGCCUCAAGUUAGCCAUGAAUAAUGACAACCUUGAGCUGUCCUGAGUUUAAAAUGAGUCAGCAUGAUCCGGGUCACUGAAGUGGAAACGUUUCAAAAACAAGACAAAUAUCUGAACCUCCAAAUGCCACAUAAAUUGCUUACCUCAAAGAUGAAACACUAAACUCAAAAAGACUGAAUGAGAGGCAGCUCUUUAAAGGGGAAAUGUCAAUUUCAUGCAAUCAAGAAAGAUCAUAAGAUGACUAGAUUAAGUUGUAUAAUAACCCCUUUUUGGUACCAAUUAAAUUCCUUUUAAUUUCAAUCUGCCUUUUGGCUUUUUAGAACAGCAUGAACAUGUACUGCUCUCAAUGGGCUCCAUUCAUUGAUAAAUGCAUUGAAGUGUUCUUUUGUGCACAGAGAAGGUUCUCAGAAAAAAACAGGUGCAUACCAAGGAAGUCUAUAAUACCUGGAGUCAUCUGUUAGCAUAACCAUUCAUCUCAAAGUCCCAAGACCUUCACUAGCAACUUUCCUGAGCUGUGACAUAAAAGACAGACUACGCCUUGACACUAUGAAGCGACGCUCCCCACAUGAGCUUUUGGGGCUCACUGCUGCCGAAAAGUUUUUUGGAGCGGGUCCUGCUCACAUUCAUGGCAAAAGUAGGUCCCACCAAGAUUUGAACUCAGAACACUGGAUUCAGAGUCCAGAGUGCUAUCCAUUACACAGUGGAACCGUGACAGGAGCAGCUGUCGCUCACAGGGCCACAAAGAAUAAAUCACUCACAGACUCGACAGUAGCAGCACCACCAAACUUUUUCUUUUCCUGCCGCAAGAAGCAUUUAGACAGAAGGGUUGGAUCCCAGUCAAUUUUGGUCACUUGCCCCCUCGACCAAAAGGCAAAGACACGCUCUAACCAGCUGAGCUAACCAGCUAACAUGAAAGAAAUAAAAGCAGCUGAAAAAAAAGGAAUGCCUUAAACCUCUCUAAAUAACUUGCAAUAUAUAUUGAUCAAC